rnacentral:rRNA from 1 species
GACGAACGCUGGCGGCAUGCCUAACACAUGCAAGUCGAGCGAGUUGAUUCCUUCGGGAUGAAGCUAGCGGCGGACGGGUGGGUAACACGUGGGCAACCUGCCUCAUAGAGGGGAAUAGCCUCCCGAAAGGGAGAUUAAUACCGCAUAAGAUUGUAGUACCGCAUGGUACAGCAAUUAAAGGAGCAAUCCGCUAUGAGAUGGGCCCGCGGCGCAUUAGCUAGUUGGUGAGGUAACGGCUCACCAAGGCGACGAUGCGUAGCCGACCUGAGAGGGUGAUCGGCCACAUUGGGACUGAGACACGGCCCAGACUCCUACGGGAGGCAGCAGUGGGGAAUAUUGCACAAUGGGGGAAACCCUGAUGCAGCAAUGCCGCGUGAGUGAUGACGGCCUUCGGGUUGUAAAGCUCUGUCUUCGGGGACGAUAAUGACGGUACCUAAGGAGGAAGCCACGGCUAACUACGUGCCAGCCGCCGCUGUAA